GGGGUGAAAGGCCAAUCAAACCGGGAGAUAGCUGGUUCUCCCCGAAAGCUAUUUAGGUAGCGCCUCGUGAACUCAUCUUCGGGGGUAGAGCACUGUUUCGACUAGGGGGUCAUCCCGACUUACCAACUCGAUGCAAACUGCGAAUACCGAAGAAUGUUAUCACGGGAGACACACGGCGGGUGCUAACGUCCGUCGUGAAGAGGGAAACAACCCAGACCGCCAGCUAAGGUCCCAAAGUCAUGGUUAAGUGGGAAACGAAGUGGGAAGGCUCAGACAGCCAGGAUGUUGGCUUAGAAGCAGCCAUCAUUUAAAGAAAGCGUAAUAGCUCACUGGUCGAGUCGGCCCGCGCGGAAGAUGUAACGGGGCUAAACCAUGCACCGAAGCUGCGGCAGCAAUACUGUGUAUUGUUGGGUAGGGGAGCGUUCUGUAAGCCUGCGAAGGUGUACUGUGAGGUAUGCUGGAGGUAUCAGAAGUGCGAAUGCUGACAUAAGUAACGAUAAUGCGGGUGAAAAACCCGCACGCCGGAAGACCAAGGGUUCCUGUCCAACGUUAAUCGGGGCAGGGUGAGUCGACCCCUAAGGCGAGGCUGAAAAGCGUAGUCGAUGGGAAACGGGUUAAUAUUCCCGUACUGGUGGUAACUGCGAUGGGGGAACGGAGAAGGCUAGGUUGUCCGGGCGACGGUCGUCCCGGUUCAAGCAUGUAGGCAGAGUGACUAGGCAAAUCCGGUCACUUAAUGCUGAGGUGUGAUGACGAACCACUAAGGUGGUGAAGCAAUUGAUGCCCUGCUUCCAGGAAAAGCCUCUAAGCUUCAGGUUACCAACAAUCGUACCCCAAACCGACACAGGUGGUCAGGUAGAGAAUACUCAGGCGCUUGAGAGAACUCGGGUGAAGGAACUAGGCAAAAUGGUGCCGUAACUUCGGGAGAAGGCACGCUGGCGGUAAGUGAAGUCCCUCGCGGACGGAGCCGAAGCCAGUCGAAGAUACCAGCUGGCUGCAACUGUUUAUUAAAAACACAGCACUGUGCAAACACGAAAGUGGACGU
rnacentral:rRNA from 1 species